UUAACUCUAAUUUGUAUGGAGUUGGAACAUUUGUCUACGUUUGCCGCUAGGUGCGCUGUUCCAAUUGCAUUUGAGUUA
rnacentral:pre_miRNA from 1 species